GCUAGGUACGGUCGGAAAUCGUGCUGAUAGUGCAAUGGCAUAAGCGUGCUUGACUGCGAGACCGACAAGUCGAGCAGAUGCGAAAGCAGGUCAUAGUGAUCCGGUGGCUUCUGAAUGGAAGGGCCAUCGCUCAACGGAUAAAAGGUACUCUGGGGAUAACAGGCUGAUACCGCCCAAGAGUUCAUAUCGACGGCGGUGUUUGGCACCUCGAUGUCGGCUCAUCUCAUCCUGGGGCUGUAGUCGGUCCCAAGGGUAUGGCUGUUCGCCAUUUAAAGAGGUACGUGAGCUGGGUUUAAAACGUCGUGAGACAGUUUGGUCCCUAUCUGCCGUGGGCGUUGGAAGAUUGACGGGGGCUGCUCCUAGUACGAGAGGACCGGAGUGGACGCACCUCUGGUGUAUCGGUUGUGACGCCAGUCGCAUUGCCGAGUAGCUAUGUGCGGAAGAGAUAACCGCUGAAAGCAUCUAAGCGGGAAACUUGCCUGAAGAUAAGUCUUCCCGGAGGCUUGACCUCCCAAAAGAGUCGUUCGAGACCAGGACGUUGAUAGGUCGAAUGUGUAAGCGCUGUGAGGCGUUGAGCUAAUCGAUACUAAUUGCUCGUGAGACUUGAUCCU
rnacentral:rRNA from 1 species